CAACUUACCUGGCGUCGAGGUCAGGGUGAUCAAGAAUGCUCUGACUCCGGGUGAAGGCUCACCAUUGCACCUCGGUGAGUUGAAACUCGUGACGGACCCUAAUCGAGUACGCUCGGGCCUGUAGUUUUUGUCAGUGGGGAGGCCUCAGUUUCCUCCCUU
rnacentral:snRNA from 1 species